rnacentral:misc_RNA from 1 species
UCUCCGUUGGUGAACCAGCGGAGGGAUCAUUACAGGAUCGAAAGACUCCUAUAACCCCUGUGAACUUACUACAAAUACGUUGCUUCGGCGGGUGCCCCGGGUCUCCCGGGGCGUUCAGCCCGCAGGCAGCCUUCAAAUUCUGUUUCUUUGCGUUGGCAUCUCGAGUAUACAAAAAUAAGUUAAAACUUUCAACAACGGAUCUCUUGGUUCUG